CUUAAAUUAUUUAUUUUGUAGAUCUGAAAAUGUAAAAGGAAAAAUAAGCACAAACGACGAGGGAAAGUACAAAGAGGAUAACAAAAACACACGUAAUGAUCGAGAACUGCCCAAGUAUAAUCCUAACCAGACUGGACCAGUUUUGCAAUCUUCCAACAAAUAUUCUGGACUUGACGACGAGGGAUCUGAAUAAAUAAAUAACUUAUGUAUGUUUCUUAUAAAAGAUUAAAUGAAUUCAAAUAAAGAAAUUAAAUAUAGCUUAAAA
rnacentral:sRNA from 1 species